CCUACGGGAGGCAGCAGUGGGGAAUCUUCCGCAAUGGGCGAAAGCCUGACGGAGCAACGCCGCGUGAACGAUGAAGGUCUUAGGAUCGUAAAGUUCUGUUGUUAGGGACGAAGGGUAAGAAUCAUAAUAAGGUUUUUAUUUGACGGUACCUAACGAGGAAGCCACGGCUAACUACGUGCCAGCAGCCGCGGUAAUACGUAGGUGGCGAGCGUUGUCCGGAAUUAUUGGGCGUAAAGAGCAUGUAGGCGGCUUAAUAAGUCGAGCGUGAAAAUGCGGGGCUCAACCCCGUGAUGGGGUCCGAACUGGUUUUCUUGAGUGCAGGAGAGGAAAGCGGAAUUCCCAGUGUAGCGGUGAAAUGCGUAGAUAUUGGGAAGAACACCAGUGGCGAAGGCGGCUUUCUGGACUGUAACUGACGCUGAGGCUC
rnacentral:rRNA from 1 species